rfam:Ictidomys tridecemlineatus contig081924, whole genome shotgun sequence.
UGGGUUGUGGCUCAGUGUUAGAGCACUUGCCUAGGAUGCAGGAGGUACAAUGGGUUCAAUCCUCAUUACCACAU